rnacentral:misc_RNA from 1 species
GAAAUGCGAUAAGUAAUGUGCAUUGCAGAAUUCAGUGAAUCAUCGUAUCUUUGAACGCACAUUGCGCCCCCCAGUAUUCUGGAGGGCAUGCCUGUUCGAGCGUCAUUUCAACCAUCAAGCCCCGGGCUUGUGUUGGGGACCUGCGGCUGCCGCAGGCCCCGAAGAGCAGGGGCGGGCUCGCUGUCACACCGAGCGUAGUAGCAAUCACCUCGCUCAGGGCGUGCUGCGGGUGCCGGCCGUUAAACCCCCUUAACUGCUAAGGUGGACCGCGGAUCAGGUAGGAGUACCCGCUGAACUUAA